CUGUGCCGAGGACACUGUUCUUAACCAACAAAGCGCUCAGAGUCGUAAGUUGAACAGUAAGAUGAGAGCAAGAUAUACAGGUUGGAAGAACAGGAGAGAAGAAAUAAUAAGAGUCUGGCUUGCGUGAGGAUAGUCCCCACAGGCUCGGAUAUUGGAAUGCUGAGAAGUCAGAAAGCAGCACUACUUUGAAGGACUGGGAGGCGUGGCCUUGUUGGAGGAAGUACGUCACUGGGGGUUGGGCUUUGAGGGUUCCAAAGCUCAAGCCCUGUGUCUGUCGUCUUCCUGUUGUCUACGGAUCCAGAGGGAGAUCUCUCAGCUCCUUCUCCAGCACCAUGCCUGCCAUACUCCCACUCCCAUGAUAAUGGACUACGCUUCUGAAACUGAACAAAGUCCCCAUGUUUCAGGGAUCUGAAGAGCUUCAAGACCAGCAGGAACCCUGUCUCUCAGGCAGAUAAGCACCUCCUGCACAAGAGGCCUCUCGCAGAGACCGGCAUUUGUCCCCAGCACUCGGUGACUGCUAUAGAGCCGUGCCCUCCCCUAGCCCCAAGGACUCAUCGUCAUCAUCAUCGUCACAAGGCAGAGGUUCCCUUGGGUUAGCAAAGGGCCACCUCAGGGACUCAGAUAUCAGAAAUGGCUCUCCAUCAGCGUUUCUUCAGGUCCACGGGAUCCAGCGCCCUCUUCUGGCCUUCUUCAGCACUGCACUCAUGUGCUGCACACACCUAACAUGCGGGCAAGACACCCUCAUACAGAAAAAGAAAAUCUUGAAAAAAUUACAGUAGGAGGCAGCAGAGGAAGACACCUGACAUCAACUUUCGCCUUCAAAUACGGACACACACCAUUUCUUUCUUUUUUUUUUUUCAUUUAAAGAAAAAUCUGAAUAAAGGAAAUGAAACAGAAGGAAAAGAGGAGGAAGAUGAGACGAAAUAACAGCAAUACACUGACGGCUGUUGGUAGAUGUAUCAGCCCAGCCCGGGCAGGAGAAUGGAGUCAUCAGAGGAAAACAGAGUCAUCAGAGGAAGACGUCAUACAGGGGCAUUUGGGACUCUCCCAAAGAGAAGAGCAGGAGCCCAGGCUGGGGUGAUAGCAUCCUGUGGGCAGCCAACUGACCAGCCUCCCCACGUUCUACCUCUCCUGUGGAUGCGGUCAGUCUCUCUCGGCUGGGAAUCCCACUGGCUGUCCAUGUGUCAGAAGCUCAGAACACCCCCACACCUGCCUCACCGGCAGUUCGCUUUCUCAGGACACUGUCCACCCUGAGUGACACCUGACUUUCAGACCCAAAUCCCUGAUAUCAUCCUGUUCCCUCAGGACCCACAUCCACCUCAAACUGUCACCUCAGCCUUGGUAAUCAAUCCUUUAUCAUCACCUCUUUCUUAACACAGCUCAGCCAUAUUGGGUAGGAUCUAUGCAGCAGCCAGGUGGACUGCGGCUAUUGAGUCUCACACAGGAUUCUACACAGCCCUCACAUCACAUUCAGAGGGAAGGCUACGCACAGUCCCCGAGUUGCUCGACACAUAUUGCCUGGUGAAUGAAUGUCACUGCUUUAGUACCACAGUUCAAAAAACAAAUAGUAUCAAAGAAACAAAUAAACAUGCAAAGGACAUUUAAAACUAAUGAAAUACAGUCUCACCUCCCCAGAUCUCCUUUUUUUUGCAAGUGGGCAGAAGUCAAAUGUAGAUUCAACGUGGUCUCCUAGAUUUGCUACCAACCCCAUCAGACCCAGCAUCAUCUAGUACUGAAGUGGGUAUGAACAAUUUGGGCAAGAAUCUGAGUAGAUAUUUAGGUUUCAUGAGAUCUAUCUGUGGGGUGUGCAGGCAUAGCUGUAAGUUAUUGUUAUCUAGCCUAUAAAGGGAUGGCUCUCAGAAGCGUUCCUCCUGUCCCCCACACCAUUUGGCCUGUCGGCUGCCACUGUACAGAGAAAGGAAUAUACCUGUAGAGGACAGAUGGCUCGAGAAAGGUACUGACAGGCUAGAAGAGAGGUUUUAAAAGCAUGCAGCUGGAAUCAAAGCCUGCUCGACACUCUUCAUGUUCUAAGUAAUAUAUAAAAUAUGGCAGCAUUAAAGAAAAUGUAAAGUUCUCGGUCGAUGACAACUGUAAACAUUUUAAUUGUAGGGGCUGGAGAGAUGGCUCAGCAGUUAAGAGUUAACUGCUCUUCUGAAGGUCCUGAGUUCAAAUCCCAGCAAGUACAUGGUGGCUCACAACCAUCAGUAAUAAGAUCUGACCCUCUCUUCUGGGGUGUCUGAAGACAGCUACAGAGUACUUACAUAUAAUAAUAAAUAAAUCUUUAAGAAAAAAAAUUUAAUUGCAGCAGCACAAAUUUUCUAAAAUAUCAACAACAAAUUUCAGUUUGCAAUAGGAAAAUAUGUGUACUUUUCUCGUCCCUCACAGGUAACACUACAGUGAGCCAGCAUUAUGCUAUACAGCUAUAAUCCCAGCACGCGGGAGGCAGAGCCCAGGGGAUCAUGAGGCCAGCCUGGGCUAAACAUGGAGACCCUCUCAGGAGGAAGAGAAGAACAGAAGGAAUGAGGGAGAAAAUACUGUAAGGACUAAGGGUGUGGCUCUGUGGUAGGGCAUGUGCGAGAGGCCCUAGCUGGGGUCUCCUGCAACGCACGCACGCAUGCACGCACGCACGCAUGCACGCACGCACGCACGCACGCACGCACGCACGCAUGCACGCACGCACGCAUGCACGUACAGCCAGGACUUCUGAAGCGCAGGGAUGACGCCGGCAGGCUGAGGAUGGAGGGGCAGUGGGUUGAAAAGAAGGUAAAGGGAAUUGCAAGGCAAGGGGGCAUCCCUGCAACAGGAAGCUCUCUCAGGACAGUGCAAAGAAAACUCAGGAGCAGAUAGUGUGACCUGGGGACACUGGGUAUACAGAUCUUGGGAGCUCCCUGACCUUUUAGCAGUCAGCACCCAGACCCUCAACUAGUAAUUGUGUGCAGCCCCCAGAGAACGAGUGGGACAUUGGCACAAGUGGAGACUCAGAGAGGUCACUCGCUGCCAUGCGGGCUGCCUUGCUGAAGGCUGUUUUCUCCAGUCAGGACUGGAUUACUACCGAUCAUCGUUUAAAGAAUCUUUCUCUCUUUUCACACAGGUUACCAUGACCUUGUGCGCCUUCGGUCUCUCUCAGCCUUUCCCUCACUCAAUGCCAGGCAGGCAGGAAGCGGCAUAAUUCCCUAGAGGGAGCCUAGAGUCCUGCGCUUCCUGACCAGACUCCUAAUGUCAGAAUCUUUAUUGGACUGCCUUUCUCUCCUCUCUCCUGAAGUUUUUUUUUUUUGUUGUUGUUGUUGGGAAAUUGCAAAAACAAUCUCUUCAAGUUAAAAUUUAGAAGACCCUUAGGCACUGUGUUGGUGGCACUGCAAGCUUCCGAUGAGUGUCACUGAAUACUAAAAAAAAUCACUCAAGCCUCCAUACCUUUAAAGAUUUAAAUCUGAGAGGCUACAGGACGUGUAACUUCGCUCACCAGCUUUUACAGAGUAGUGCCUAAAUCCUAAAUGUGCUUCUUAAAGUCACCAGAGGGGGGUGGGGGGAACAACAACAAACCGUUGUAGUGGAACCUUAAAGUUCCUGCAUACCCUCCCUGACACAGCGCUCUAAAAGGAUGCUCCUGAGACGCAGAGAUGGCAAAGAGGGUUGUCAGUUCCAGCUUACAGAGUCUCUGCUUUCCAGGAAGACUGUCUGCCCUGAGCUCAGCUGUCAGGGAAGGGCCUUUCUACUGCAUAUUGCACAGGGCAGUUUCAAAGUAUUUUGUUCUUCUGCUUUUUGCUGUGUUGGGGAUGUGCGUGCUAGCUACCACUAUACCACUGGGCUCCAUCCCCAGUACGGUGACAACAUUUUUAAUACAGACAUCCCUUUAGAGUCUUUUCAGAUACACUUGAAUAUAAUGCUUUUUGGAUAAAAGCCUUUCUGUCCACGGCACUACUGUAAUUCCUGCUCCCCUCCCCCGAGUCAGCAGAGCUCAAACACAUGUUCUAAGGAGCACAGCACGGAACAAGCCCCUCACUUAAACCGGGCCUGCUCUGACGUCUUGGGGACCUCUGCACAGUCACUCCACCAAUCUUGUAAACUCGGCACUGCUUUAGGGAACAGUUAGGGAGCGAACACAAAAAUGAAAGAGAAAAAAACAGAGGCGCCACAGUUAGUUUUCAAACCCGGUCUGGUUUUUUUCAGCUUUGCGCUGGUUUCCAUCCUUCCGGCAGUCUUAACGAGUUCCUCCUGAACUCGGGUCUGUGCCAGUCACUCCCUGGAGGCGCUCGCUCUCAGGCUGUGAGCCUAGGCUGUCUGGGCUCAGGAUGCAAGGAGGACAACCAGCUGCAACCCAGCUAGAGCUCCACGCGCCUCGGGUUGAAACAGGGAAGCACCCACAACUUGGCUGCAGAGCUGAUCCUUAAAAAGAAACUGCGGUAUUCUAGCCUCGCAGGGACGUUUGUAUUCCAGGUGACUCAAACGCCAAGGUCAAGUACCCAGCGCUUGGCCAUUCCAUCGCCCAAUGAGCAGCGAGUCCCUUAUGCUUGGCGGACGGCUGUGCCCUUCUCCCCAUGGUGCUGACCCCCAUGCUCCCCAUGCAAACCUCCUCCCGCUGUAGGGAGUGGGGGGUGAAGGGCCAGAGAAAGGUGAGCCCAGAAACAACACAGGCCCUAUCCUUGCAACUCAUUCCGCUCCCGCCCACGUGCCCGCAGCACGCCCACGCCGCCCAUCUCCGGUGUUCCGUGGAGCUCUGAGGAGCUGGGUACUGCCACCGCACUCACUUGU